AGAUUGAACGCUGGCGGCAUGCCUUACACAUGCAAGUCGAACGGCAGCACGGGGGCAACCCUGGUGGCGAGUGGCGAACGGGUGAGUAAUACAUCGGAACGUGUCCUUUCGUGGGGGAUAACCAGUCGAAAGACUGGCUAAUACCGCAUGAGAUCUCACGAUGAAAGCGAGGGACCGCAAGGCCUCGCGCGAAUGGAGCGGCCGAUGUCGGAUUAGCUAGUUGGCGGGGUAAAAGCCCACCAAGGCGACGAUCCGUAGCUGGUUUGAGAGAACGACCAGCCACACUGGGACUGAGAC
rnacentral:rRNA from 1 species